rnacentral:rRNA from 1 species
UUUACCCUACGGGAGGCAGCAGUGGGGAAUAUUGCACAAUGGGGGAAACCCUGAUGCAGCGACGCCGCGUGAGUGAGGAAGUAUUUCGGUAUGUAAAGCUCUAUCAGCAGGGAAGAAAAUGACGGUACCUGACUAAGAAGCCCCGGCUAACUACGUGCCAGCAGCCGCGGUAAUACGUAGGGGGCAAGCGUUAUCCGGAUUUACUGGGUGUAAAGGGAGCGCAGACGGCAGGGCAAGUCUGAUGUGAAAGUCCGGGGCUCAACCCCGGGACUGCAUUGGAAACUGUCCGGCUAGAGUGCAGGAGG